rnacentral:rRNA from 1 species
UACGUAGGGUGCAAGCGUUAAUCGGAAUUACUGGGCGUAAAGCGUGCGCAGGCGGUCCGUUAAGACAGAUGUGAAAGCCCCGGGCUCAACCUGGGAACUGCGCUUGAGACUGCGGGACUGGAGUUCGGGAGAGGAGAGCGGAAUUCUCAGUGUAGAGGUGAAAUUCGUAGAUAUUGGGAAGAACACCGGUGGCGAAGGCGGCGACCUGGUCCAUUACUGACGCUGAGGCGCGACAGCGUGGGGAGCAAACAGG